GGACUACUCGGGUUUCUAAUCCGGUUUGCUCCCCUGGCUUUCGGGUCUCAGCGUCAGGAACGGCCCAGCAGGCCGCCUUCGCCACUGGUGUUCCACCGGAUAUCUGCCCAUUUCACCGGUACACCCGGUAUUCCACCUGCCUCUACCGUCCUCAAGUCCACCAGUUUCGGAUGCAAUUCCACGGUUGGGCCGUGAGAUUUCACAUCCGACUUAAUGGACCGCCUACACCCGCUUUACGCCCAGUGAAUCCGGGCAACGCUCGCCCCCUACGUUUUACCGCGGCGGCUGGCAC
rnacentral:rRNA from 1 species